UAGUCAAUUAAAACUUGUUGUUGGCCUAGUUGGUUCAUGAAAAAACCUCUAUACUGCAUCAUGAACCAACUAGGCCAACAACAAGUUUUAAUUGACUACAU
rnacentral:pre_miRNA from 1 species